CACAGCUGUUAUUUUCACUUAUUUAGAUGAUAUUGCUCACCAACUGACACUAGUGCUUUUAAUAUGCAGCAUCUUACCUUUAGUUGCCAAUACUAAGGCUGUUAUUAAGCAGGCUGUAUACAAAUUGCCACAAAAGAAGGUGUGGAAAAGACUGCAAGUAGCCAUCAAUAUGUGGAGUUCCAGGGCGAUCCUGGCCCUGGUGAUGAUGCCGAACUGGCCCAGGCCGCCGAGAGCGCCGUAGAAGAGGUCCGAGUUCUCCUCCGGCGAGCAGGUGACGACGUCUCCUCUCCCUGCAUUUGGUUUUCAUUAUGGGACGAUAGAUCAGGUACACCACAUCGGCUACACCAUUGUCAAAUUCGGGUAGGAGUUUCUGUUGUAGUAUGUGUUAGAGCCUCGAUGAGAUAGGGGGAACCUCGGUUUGGGGUUAGUCGUGUCGCUUGGGUCGCCUUAGUUUUGACUUGGUCCAGUCUAGGGGCCAGAUCAACGAUGGUGAGGCGAUGACACCAUUGAUGGCGUGGAAUAAGGUCUCCUUGUCAUGUCAUAGUUUAGUCAGGGUCAAUUUGGUGCCGGUGGAUGGUGUGUGAAGCUUUCAUCAAAGCUAGGUUAGGGGUCCUGACUUCUCUUCAUUUCAUGUAAAUGGUUUUUGACUGCGUCGUUCGGUGGUGUAAAUGGCGACAAUUCGUGAUUUGGUCCAAUGGCUUCUUCUUCUCUGUUCAACAAAGCAUAUACAAUGUUAAUUUCG